AGGAUUCGCUGGGUGAAGAAAAGAAGGAAAAGAAGAAAAGAAAAAAAAUAAGAGAAAGAAAGGAAGAAAAGAGAGAAGAAAGGAAGAAAGCUGAAGGGGUUAUAGAGAGGAUUCGCUGGGUGAAGAAAAGAAGGAAAAGAAGAAAAGAAAAAAAAUGAGAGAAAGAAAGGAAGAAAAGAGAAAAGAAAGGAAGAAAGCUGAAGGGGUCUUUGGUGGUGAAAAGAAAGGAUGAGGUGACAUGUCAGGACCAGCGUGUGGGGUAGGCACAAAGCACUUUGCAGACAUAGUUCAGCUUUGACAAUGUAAUUAAAUAGAAGCUCUAAUGAUUAUUUUAGUACCCUCAUUUAAAUA